GACGAACGCUGGCGGCGUGCUUAACACAUGCAAGUCGAACGGAAAGGCCCUACUUUUGUGGGGUGCUCGAGUGGCGAACGGGUGAGUAACACGUGAGUAACCUGCCCUUCACUUUGGGAUAACUUCGGGAAACUGGGGCUAAUACCGGAUAGGAGCUCCUGCUUCAUGGUGGGGGGUGGAAAGUUUCGGCGGUUGGGGAUGGACUCGCGGCUUAUCAGCUUGUUGGUGGGGUAGUGGCUUACCAAGGCUUUGACGGGUAGCCGGCCUGAGAGGGUGACCGGCCACAUUGGGACUGAGAUACGGCCCAGACUCCUACGGGAGGCAGCAGUGGGGAAUAUUGCACAAUGGGCGGAAGCCUGAUGCAGCAACGCCGCGUGCGGGAUGACGGCCUUCGGGUUGUAAACCGCUUUCGCCUGUGACGAGGCGUGAGUGACGGUAAUGGGUAAAGAAGCACCGGCUAACUACGUG
rnacentral:rRNA from 1 species